rnacentral:tRNA from 1 species
GCGCCGGUGGUGAAAGGCGAACAUCGCUGCCCGGAAAUCAGAAGAAGCGCGUUCGAGUCCCGCCUGGCGCA